ACCUGCGAGGUAGCUCAGUCAGUAAAGCGUGAGAUUCUUAUUCUCAGGGUUGUAGGUUCGAGCCUCAUGUCGGGCA